GACGAACGCUGGCGGCGUGCUUAACACAUGCGAGUCGAACGGAAAGGCCCUGCUUGCCGGGUACUCGAGUGGCGAACGGGUGAGUAACACGUGGGUGAUCUGCCCUGCACUUCGGGAUAAGCCUGGGAAACUGGGUCUAAUACCGGAUAGGAGCCAUUUUUAGUGUGAUGGUUGGAAAGUUUUUUCGGUGUAGGAUGAGCUCGCGGCCUAUCAGCUUGUUGGUGGGGUAAUGGCCUACCAAGGCGGCGACGGGUAGCCGGCCUGAGAGGGUGGACGGCCACAUUGGGACUGAGAUACGGCCCAGACUCCUACGGGAGGCAGCAGUGGGGAAUAUUGCACAAUGGGCGCAAGCCUGAUGCAGCGACGCCGCGUGGGGGAUGACGGCCUUCGGGUUGGAAACUCCUUUCGCUAGGGACGAAGCUUUUUGUGACGGUACCUAGAUAAGAAGCACCGGCUAACUACGUG
rnacentral:rRNA from 1 species